GACGAACGCUGGCGGCGUGCCUAAUACAUGCAGGUUGAGCGCUGAAGGAUGGUACUUGUACCAACUGGAUGAGCAGCGAACGGGUGAGUAACGCGUGGGGAAUCUGCCUUUGAGCGGGGGACAACAAUUGGAAACGAAUGCUAAUACCGCAUAAAAACAUUAAACACAAGUUUUAAGUUUGAAAGAUGCAAUUGCAUCACUCAAAGAUGAUCCCGCGUUGUAUUAGCUAGUUGGUGAGGUAAAGGCUCACCAAGGCGAUGAUACAUAGCCGACCUGAGAGGGUGAUCGGCCACCUUGGGACUGAGACACGGCCCAAACUCCUACGGGAGGCAGCCGUAGGGAAUCUUCGGCGAUGGACGAAAGUCUGACCGAGCAACGCCGCGUGAGUGAAGAAGGUUGUCGGAUCGUAAAACUCUGUUGGUUGGGAAGAACGUGGGUGAGAGUAGAAAGCUCAUCAAGUGACGGUAACUACCCAGAAAGGGACGGCUAACUACGUG
rnacentral:rRNA from 1 species